AUGAACUGGAGAUUAUGAAGAGAGUGAUGGUGGGUUUGGGGGGAAAAAGAGAAACUGAAGAAAACUCCACAGAGAGUAGCAGGGCCCUGGAGGUGACAGGAGGCCUGAUGCCACGGAAGCUGAGGGGCUGGAUAAGUUUAUGGAUAUUCCGGUGCAACACCAGGAUGGGAGGGCAGUCUCCAUGGUGACGUGGAGGCCCCUGGGGCCAAGAUGUGGGGGGAGAAGUAGACUAUCACUGUCCUGGGUCCUAUGGUCCUGGCUCUUGUCCCUCUUCUGGCCUCUGUGGAGCCAAGUAUCCUGCUGUCCCUGGGUCCCUAUGAGCAUCCAGUAGUCUUCAUAACCAAGCACAGUCAUGCAAAUGAGGCCUACACUUGAAUCAAACUGGAGAAACCUGGAAUGAAAACACAGUGCCCCAGGUGGGCAGGGCCCGCAAGGUAGACCGAAUCCUAGAUGUUUCUGCCAGAAGGAGUCUGUCCGCAAAUAGAAUGCAGCCUCCCUCUGCGAAGUGAGAGGCUAUCUGAGUGUCUGAUUUCUGGAGCCCCCUCCAUGUCCCCAGCAGAUGUGCAUCCACUUGGAAACACAACACAGGAUUCAAAGAUGUUCUACAUGUCCCCAAGUCUUGGAUCUCUCCAGUGCCUCAUCAGUGAUGCCUUGAGAGGAGUGGAGAUCAGAGGGACAAGGCACUUCAUUCCUAUGAGUCUACAAGCAACCUGAGAGCAGUUCUGUGCAAUUGUCAUCUUGCCUAGCACCCUGCAUUGUGUGGAGCAGACUGGGGCAGACACUGCUACUGUUCCAACUACUCAUUCUCCCCUCCUUCCUCUGAAGAGCUCGCAUUCCUGCUGGGAAGGUAAACUCACUCACAUGAAUUGACUUGCGGUGAACUCCACUCCAAAGGCUUUGCUCUUUGUGAAACUGCAAAAGAGCCACACUCUGGAGAACUGGUAAGAGAAGGGGGCACAGGUGAGAGGACAGGAUUGCAGAUGAGACAAUUCGGACACAGAGGAGAGGGCAGGGUGCAGUUGAGAAAGUGGGGGUACAGGUAAGAAGACAAAGGCCCAGGCUAGCACUUACGGGGAUGAGGCGAG